rnacentral:rRNA from 1 species
GAUGAACGCUGGCGGCGUGCCUAACACAUGCAAGUCGAACGGAGUUUAUGAAGUUUUCGGAUGGAUUAAACUUAGUGGCGGACGGGUGAGUAACGCGUGGGUAACAUGCCUCAUACAGGGGGAUAACAGUUGGAAACGACUGCUAAAACCGCAUAACAUUGCGACACCGCAUGGUGAUGCAAUUAAAAAUUUAUAGGUAUGAGAUGGGCCCGCGUCUGAUUAGCUAGUUGGUGAGGUAAUGGCUCACCAAGGCGACGAUCAGUAGCCGGCUUGAGAGAGGGACCGGCCACAUUGGGACUGAGACACGGCCCAAACUCCUACGGGAGGCAGCAGUGGGGAAUAUUGCACAGUGGGGGAAACCCUGAUGCAGCGACGCCGCUUGAGUGAAGAAGUAUUUCGGUAUGUAAAGCUCUAUCAGCAGGGAAGAAAAUGACGGUACCUGACUAAGAAGCCCCGGCUAACUACGUGCCAGCCGCCGCCGUAA